GUGAAUCAUCGAAUUUUUGAACGCAAAUUGCACUCUCUUCGAAUAGGAUGCCUGUUUGAGGGUCAGCCUAAAAAAAAUCGACAUAGUUGCUGUUACACGGUAACAUUCGUCGGGAAGUAGGGCAUCUUAAACCUUUGGGGUUAAGCUGCUUAAAAUUUUCUUUACGAUUCCAAUAACGUUUCUAAGAUUUUAUUUUCUUAUACGUUUAAGGUAUCGAUCUUUACUAAGCGGU
rnacentral:misc_RNA from 1 species